CUCAAUGUAUAUAUUAGUACUAACCUGCUUUAUCCAUAUAUCUCUCUGACUGUUAUCUUUGAAUCUGACUUUUACCAGGGUGCAGCUCUUUCAGUGUGCGAUCCAGGUUUGGUGUCCCAGGAACAGCUGCAGAAAUCCUGCCUUGUAUGGGGAGCAUGGCUGGCUGAUCUGCUGAAUUGCUGCUGUGAUUCAGAUAAUUACAUCAGCUGUCUGGCAGCCUCAGCAAAGGGUCCUCCAGCAUACAGACUACAGGAUAUUAAGGAAAGGAAAAGAAAAAACCAAAGCAACAGCCUUUUCUCUUACAUUCGGAUAUCUUUAGGGAUAUAAGGAACCUCCAUCAGUGGCCGACCACGUAAUGAAGCUGCCACAUCUCUAUGGGCUGUGGCCAGUAUUGCUCCUGGAGUGGACCAGAGCUGCUUCUUAGAUGUUAUUCCUGUUUUCAGCAUCCAGGAGAGGACAGUGCUGGAAUGAAGCUUGUUUUGCCAGGGGAGGUGCAGAAUGAAUAUUAGGAAACAUUUCUUCUCAGAAGGAGCGGUGCUGCAGUGUUCACAGACUGCCCAGGGAGUGGUGGGGUCACCAUCCUUGGAGGUGUCCAAGAACCAUGGAGAUGUGGCACUGAGACAGAUGUAACUGAGAAAACAACAGUGACACUCCAGCAUCCCCUGUGCUCUGGUGCCCACGACCUGCAGUCAGCAUUGUAGGGUCCUGGGGAGGGCUCUGGGUGAGAACCCCUAUGUGCCUUCCGCAUGGAUGCCAAAGGACAGGAUGCCACCCAAUGGCCAGAGAUGACCCAGGUGGAAAACCUCGGUCCUAAGGCACAUUCCUGUGGUGUGAGUGUCCCAGCAAACUGAGCAGCAGGAACUCCUCUGGAUUCUGACCCAGCAGCACAUCUCCCAGCAAGUGAUGGGCUUGAAUGCCUGCAAGGGAGGGCUGGAGGGUUUCUGUGCAAACAAAACCCAUUUCUAACCUUGGCAGCUGCAGCAAAGAGCUCCUGGUUGUCACUCCGCACUCAGGGAGCCACACAAGAGGUCUCCUUCACACCGGCGUGUUUUCUGAAUGGCCCCUUGCAAACCUUGUAUGUGUGGGAAUUGCUACGAAAUUGAAAUAGGCUUGGACUUGUUCACAUCCACUCGCUGUAUUCAAGAUGAAAACACAUAGAAAAGCGAUUCAGAGCGACAGAACACUUUUUAAUUUAGAAAACAAAAGCUUUUCUGGAAGCCCAGAACUUCACCCAAACCACGAAUCAGAGCAGAAAUGUUGUAUUUUAGACUCACUGACACCUCUGACACACUGUUCACAGGUUGCCCAAGGAGGCUGUGGGUGCCCCAUCCCUGCAGGCAUUCAAGGCCAGGCUGGAUGUGGCUCUGGGCAGCCUGGUCUGCUGGUUGGCGACCCUGCACAUAACAGGGCGUUGGAACUGGAUGAGCACUGUGGUCCUUUUCAA
rnacentral:lncRNA from 1 species